CUAGCGUUGUUCGGAAUUACUGGGCGUAAAGCGCACGUAGGCGGAUCGUUAAGUCGGGGGUGAAAUCCUGGAGCUCAACUCCAGAACUGCCUUCGAUACUGGCGAUCUUGAGUCCGGAAGAGGUGAGUGGAACUCCUAGUGUAGAGGUGGAAUUCGUAGAUAUUCGGAGGAACACCAGUGGCGAAGGCGGCUCACUGGUCCGGUACUGACGCUGAGGUGCGAAAGCGUGGGGAGCAAACAGG
rnacentral:rRNA from 1 species